rnacentral:rRNA from 1 species
UACGUAGGGUGCGAGCGUUAAUCGGAAUUACUGGGCGUAAAGCGUGCGCAGGCGGUUCGUUGUGUCUGAUGUGAAAGCCCCGGGCUCAACCUGGGAAUGGCAUUGGAAACUGGCGAGCUAGAGUGUGGCAGAGGGGGGUGGAAUUCCGCGUGUAGCAGUGAAAUGCGUAGAGAUGCGGAGGAACACCGAUGGCGAAGGCAAUCCCCUGGGCCUGCACUGACGCUCAUGCACGAAAGCGUGGGAGCAAACAGG